rnacentral:rRNA from 1 species
UACGUAGGGGGCAAGCGUUGUCCGGAAUCAUUGGGCGUAAAGAGCGUGUAGGCGGCCCGGUAAGUCCGCUGUGAAAUCUCGAGGCUCAACUUCGAGCUGUCGGUGGAAACUGUCUGGCUAGAGUCCGGAAGAGGAGAAUGGAAUUCCUGGUGUAGCGGUGAAAUGCGCAGAUAUCAGGAGGAACACCAAUAGCGAAGGCAGCUCGCUGGGACGUGACUGACGCUGAGACGCGAAAGCGUGGGGAGCAAACAGG